UUGUUGCCUUUACAAAACACGACCCGUGCACAUGUAAUGUAAAACUGCUGAGGGGGAAUGUUCUCCUCAGCCCUACCGGCCUCAGUCUUCUGUGUCCUUUUAGGACAUGUUGGUUGUUGCACCGGAAAACGGCGCGGAUGGCGCCAAGGAAUAUUAGAUUGCUGAGGUAGAUGACGACUAGCCGUAAGGUGUUGCGUUGUCUGCUAAGGCCAAAGUAAAAAAC
rnacentral:misc_RNA from 1 species